AUGAUGAUGAUGGUGAUGAUGAUGAUGAUGAUGAUGAUGGUGAUGAUGAUGGUGAUGAUGAUGAUGAUGAUGAUGGUGAUGAUGGUGAUGAUGGUGAUGAUGAUGAUGAUGAUGAUGGUGAUGAGUGAUGAUGAUGAUGAUGAUGAUGAUGGUGAUGAUGAUGAUGAUGAUGGUGAUGAUGAUGAUGAUGGUGAUGAUGUGAUGAUGAUGGUGAUGAUGGUGAUGAUGAUGAUGAUGAUGGUGAUGAUGGUGAUGAUGAUGAUGAUGAUGAUGAUUGUGAAUGAUGAUGAUGGU
ensembl:lncRNA